rnacentral:rRNA from 1 species
CCUACGGGGGGCAGCAGUGAGGAAUAUUGGUCAAUGGACGAGAGUCUGAACCAGCCAAGUAGCGUGAAGGAUGACUGCCCUAUGGGUUGUAAACUUCUUUUAUAUGGGAAUAAAAUGUUCCACGUGUGGGAUUUUGUAUGUACCAUAUGAAUAAGGAUCGGCUAACUCCGUGCCAGCAGCCGCGGUAAUACGGAGGAUCCGAGCGUUAUCCGGAUUUAUUGGGUUUAAAGGGAGCGUAGGUGGAUUGUUAAGUCAGUUGUGAAAGUUUGCGGCUCAACCGUAAAAUCGCAGUUGAAACUGGCAGUCUUGAGUACAGUAGAGGUGGGCGGAAUUCGUGGUGUAGCGGUGAAAUGCUUAGAUAUCACGAAGAACUCCGAUUGCGAAGGCAGUUCACUGGACUGCAACUGACACUGAGGCUCGAAAGUGUGGGUAUCAAACAGGAUUAGAUACCCGAGUAGUC